CAGAGUGACAGCAACCUGACGAAGCUCUUUAUGAAACAGACCUGGUCCAGACAGCAGAGAGCUGCACAGAGAAAACCUUCAUAGGAAGAAGUUGAUGUUACUGGUUUACCUCUCAGACUCCAGAAGAUGAAGAAAGAGGAGGAAGAGGAGGACGGAGCAGAGUCUGUAAUAUCCAGCUGUCUGUCUAUGAAGAGUGACCGGUCCAGAUAUCGUCCUCCACUCUUCAGUAAUGAACCUGGACCCUCAGACACAAAUGUUACUGGUUUAC